UACGUAGGGGGCAAGCGUUGUUCGGAAUUACUGGGCGUAAAGGGCGCGUAGGCGGCACAGCAAGUCGGGAGUGAAAGCCCGGGGCUCAACCCCGGAACUGCUUUCGAAACUGCUGAGCUAGAGUACAGAAGGGGCAACCGGAAUUCCCAGUGUAGCGGUGAAAUGCGUAGAUAUUGGGAAGAACACCUGCGGCGAAGGCGGGUUGCUGGGCUGAUACUGACGCUGAGGCGCGAAAGCCAGGGGAGCAAACGGG
rnacentral:rRNA from 1 species